CAUGAUGAACGCUAGCGACAGGCUUAACACAUGCAAGUCGAGGGGCAGCGGGGGUAGCAAUACCCGCCGGCGACCGGCGCACGGGUGAGUAACGCGUAUGCAACUUACCUAUCAGAGGGGGAUAACCCGGCGAAAGUCGGACUAAUACCGCAUGAAGCAGGGGCCCCGCAUGGGGAUAUUUGCUAAAGAUUCAUCGCUGAUAGAUAGGCAUGCGUUCCAUUAGGCAGUUGGCGGGGUAACGGCCCACCAAACCGACGAUGGAUAGGGGUUCUGAGAGGAAGGUCCCCCACAUUGGUACUGAGACACGGACCAAACUCCUACGGGAGGCAGCAGUGAGGAAUAUUGGUCAAUGGCCGAGAGGCUGAACCAGCCAAGUCGCGUGAGGGAUGAAGGUUCUAUGGAUCGUAAACCUCUUUUAUAAGGGAAUAAAGUGCGGGACGUGUCCCGUUUUGUAUGUACCUUAUGAAUAAGGAUCGGCUAACUCCGUGCCAGCAGCCGCGGUAAUACGGAGGACCCGAGCGUUAUCCGGAUUUAUUGGGUUUAAAGGGUGCGUAGGCGGCCUUUUAAGUCAGCGGUGAAAGUCUGUGGCUCAACCAUAGAAUUGCCGUUGAAACUGGGGGGCUUGAGUAUGUUUGAGGCAGGCGGAAUGCGUGGUGUAGCGGUGAAAUGCAUAGAUAUCACGCAGAACCCCGAUUGCGAAGGCAGCCUGCCAAGCCAUUACUGACGCUGAUGCACGAAAGCGUGGGGAUCAAACAGGAUUAGAUACCCUGGUAGUCCACGCAGUAAACGAUGAUCACUAGCUGUUUGCGAUACACUGUAAGCGGCACAGCGAAAGCGUUAAGUGAUCCACCUGGGGAGUACGCCGGCAACGGUGAAACUCAAAGGAAUUGACGGGGGCCCGCACAAGCGGAGGAACAUGUGGUUUAAUUCGAUGAUACGCGAGGAACCUUACCCGGGUUUGAACGCAUUCGGACCGAGGUGGAAACACCUUUUCUAGCAAUAGCCGUUUGCGAGGUGCUGCAUGGUUGUCGUCAGCUCGUGCCGUGAGGUGUCGGCUUAAGUGCCAUAACGAGCGCAACCCUUGCCACUAGUUACUAACAGGUAAAGCUGAGGACUCUGGUGGGACUGCCAGCGUAAGCUGCGAGGAAGGCGGGGAUGACGUCAAAUCAGCACGGCCCUUACAUCCGGGGCGACACACGUGUUACAAUGGCGUGGACAAAGGGAGGCCACCUGGCGACAGGGAGCGAAUCCCCAAACCACGUCUCAGUUCGGAUCGGAGUCUGCAACCCGACUCCGUGAAGCUGGAUUCGCUAGUAAUCGCGCAUCAGCCAUGGCGCGGUGAAUACGUUCCCGGGCCUUGUACACACCGCCCGUCAAGCCAUGGGAGCCGGGGGUACCAGAAGUCCGUAACCGCGAGGAUCGGCCUAGGGU
rnacentral:rRNA from 1 species